GACGAACGCUGGCGGCGUGCUUAACACAUGCAAGUCGAACGCUGAAGCUUGGUGCUUGCUCUGGGUGGAUGAGUGGCGAACGGGUGAGUAAUACGUGAGUAACCUGCCCUUGACUCUGGGAUAAGCCUGGGAAACUGGGUCUAAUACUGGAUACGACAUGUCACCGCAUGGUGGUGAGUGGAAAGGGGUUUACUGGUUUUGGAUGGGCUCACGGCCUAUCAGCUUGUUGGUGGGGUAAGGGCACACCAAGGCGACGCCGGGUAGCCGGCCUGAGAGGGUGACCGGCCACACUGGGACUGAGACACGGCCCAGUCUCCUACGGGAGGCAGCAGUGGGGAAUAUUGCACAAUGGGCGGAAGCCUGAUGCAGCGACGCCGCGUGAGGGAUGACGGCCUUCGGGUUGUAAACCUCUUUCAGCACGGAAGAAGCGAAAGUGACGGUACGUGCAGAAGAAGCGCCGGCUAACUACGUG
rnacentral:rRNA from 1 species